rnacentral:lncRNA from 1 species
UUUUACUUCAAUUGUUGCUUGCAAGACCAUAAAGGUAACGAUUGCAUGCAAAAAUAUGGAAAAAAAGAGGAGAAAAAGAUGAAGACGAUCACUCAGAAUGAUAAGCGCUCAAGGUGCUUGACAAAAAGACCAAAGAAAAAAAAAAAACACCAAAAAGAGCACUUGUGCUCCUAAUUGGAUAUGGAAACAGAGAGAAAAAAUAUCUAACAAAUGGAUAAAGCCAUGGAGAAGAUGGUGUAGUGGGUUAAAAGAUUGAUUCCAAGAUUGCCAAAUUGAUUGCAGGACAACCAUAGCUCUGGAUACUCGAGCUCAAGCACCCUCCCCUACCGCUUUUCAGGUACAAAAGUCCUCCCUUAUGGCUGCCUUCUAGACUUAAAAUUUUUAAUCACAUUUGCAGUUACUUGUUAAUGUAUUAAAGAAUAGACACAUUAUUUAACCGUGAUAAGAGCUUAUGCCUUUUGGUGUUUUGAUGAUCUCCUCACAAGUGCAGGGACCUGGUCCUCUGCAGAGUAUGAAUACUCGUCCAGCUGUUAAAGUGCGGUACAGCUGUAAAAGUUGUCUGCGUCAGAAAGUUGAUAAAGCUGCAGAGUACUUCACCAAUCAGAAGCNNNNNNNNNNNNNNNNNNNNNNNNNNNNNNNNNNNNNNNNNNNNNNNNNNNNNNNNNNNNNNNNNNNNNNNNNNNNNNNNNNNNNNNNNNNNNNNNNNNNNNNNNNNNNNNNNNNNNNNNNNNNNNNNNNNNNNNNNNNNNNNNNNNNNNNNNNNNNNNNNNNNNNNNNNNNNNGUUGCUGCUUAGUCAAAUUCUAAGUCAUCUAGGAGCUAGUUGAUUUAGUGGGCGGUGUGGUAUCCGCUUAGCAAAGUCUAAGUUAUCUAAGGGUGAUAGCUUAGUGGGCAGUGUUGUAUCUGCUCUGGCUCAUCUAAGUAAUAGGAGGUAUUGCUUAGAGUUGGGAUUAGUAGGCUAAUCUCGGUUUGUAAACUUGCUUUUACUUUUGCUUGGAGAAGAUUAGUGAAAGAAGUUUGAAAAGUCCUGGCAGGCCAGGUCGUGGUUUUACUCCCUUGAGCAAGGAGGUUUCCACGUAAAGUUGUUGUGCAAUCUUUACUUUCAGCACUUUGUUUAUUUUCUGUUAUUGUAACUGUGCUGAGGACCUGAUCCCAUAGAAAACGUGGACGCAUACAUUCCAACAAGUGGUAUCAGAGCGGUACUUUUCGUUUUGGUUAACACCAAGAAAAGAAAAAAUCCAAAAGGAAUGGCUGCUCCACCCAAUAUGGAAGAAGGUCAGUCUUCUACUAGGCCACCGCGUUUUAAUGGUCAAUAUUAUGGCUGGUGGAAGAAUCGAAUGCAUGACUACACCAAGCACAACCAUUGUUUUACUAGCUCCCUCGUUGUAUACUACAUAUUAUAUUUUUAACAUAGGGAUGACAAAGAAUAAAUAUAUCUCAGUUCUAACAACUAGCAAACAAUAUGUCAAAGUUCCCAACUUAUUAAACAAAUCAACAGACUAAAAUAAGAAAGUUUUGUGAUUGUAACAGGCUGCUAUAUUGCUUCAGCAUUUUCCCCACGGACUUCAGAAAAAAUCACUAAUUAUCUUAGUCUUCCUUUUGUGAUUAAGGACUUUUUGUCUUGCCAGGCUAACAGGCAACAAAAAGUAUGUAAUUCUUCUAACUUCAGGACUCUAUGAUACACUUGCUUGCUAUAUUUGAUCCAUCAACAGGCUAUGGCAGAACGAACUGUGAUGGCAAGGCAGAAAUGAAGUCUACCAAAUCAUUUAGAUUCUUAUGUGAAGUACCAUCAAUCUGCAUACCAGCAACUAUGUUUUGUUUCAUGUCUACUACUCGUUUCUUCAGAUCUUUGCCUUCUUCACUUAACAUUAGUUUUCUUACUGUUUUCUCAAUGACCGUUCUCUCGAUAACCUCCAAUUCAAACCCAACCUUGUAUAUUUGGCUCAGAUACCUAGCUGUCAGCGGCUGGUCUGCUACAAAUGGCCUGCAUAUCAAAGGGACUUCCUCCAAAAUACUUUCAAGUGUAGAAUUCCAACCACAAUGAGUGAAAAGCCUGCUACCGUGGGAUGUGCAAGCACCUGUUUUUGUGGUGCCCAUUUCACUAUUCGUCCUCUUUCUCCUACUAUUUUCUCAAAAUCAUCAGGCAGUGCCUCAGCACAUUGAAAGCCAGAGACAGAUCCCGGUCGAAUAACCCACAAGAAUGGUUGAUCACUAUUAGCUAAUCCCCAAGCCGUCUCAAUUAACUCUUUGUCAUCAAUUCUCAUUUGGCUACCUAAGCUGACAUAGAGAACAGAGUUAGGAGCUUGUCUGUCGAGCCACUUGAUGCAGCUGUUAUCUUCUUGUAGUAUGCUAGUCGAUGAGGCCAUAGGCACCAUUUUGUGAAAAGGGCCUAUUGCAUAGAAGGGCACCUUGUAAUGUUCUUGAAGGCGUAACAAUAUGGAAUUCUCCAUGUCUUGCAUCGUGUUCCAAAUAGUCGCAACAGAUGAUCCUAUAUUGCUGAUUGCUCUAAAGAAGUCUAGUACCGGUUCUGCAACUGUAUUAUUAACAACAGGGAUUGGUACAUCCUUAAACCUCAAGGGAUGAAGCUCUGGUAACGGAUCCAACAACUGAGAAUCUGGAAUUGUAGUGAGUAAUUAAUGCAAGCUUAAGUGAAAGAUACAACAUAACGGAAGAAAAAGAUUAUAGGCUGAAUUAUCCUUGCAGUACUCGCUUUGUUCCAUUUUACUUGUCAUUUUUUUUUGCACGCCCCAUAAGAAAACAAUAACUAAAAGUGUAAUUUGAUCAAAUUAUCCUUAUUUAUUAUUUGAUCUCAAUUUAAUACUACUCUCUUUUCCACCACAUUAAUAUCUUUCCACAUUUAUUGUGUAAAGAUAAAAGUGAAAACUAAUACUUAGUUAAUUAUAUCUUGGUUUUCUAAAAUGGCAAUUAUCUUGGACCAUCUAUUUUUUGCAAGGACGGCAAGUAAAAUCAACUGGAAAGGGUACCUUUCAUUUCUAUUUUUAUUUUCUAUAAUGUUGGCUUGUGAUGAAUGUAAAUAGGGACCAUGGUCAGUGAAGAUUCACAUAGCCGACCUCAACUUGUUUGUGACUGAAGCAUACUUAUUGUUAUCGAAAUGAUUUUUCAUUAAAAUCUUGAAGCAGAGGAUGUGUUUGUUCUCAUACCUUCAAAAGGAAAAUAUUUUUCUGGUUGCUGAAAAAUGGUGAUCAUAGAGUGCAAAUAUGUAGCACUGGAAGUGUGCAGGACAAUGCUGGGAAGCCUUAACUGAGUGGCUACAUCAUCUACGAAAAUCAUGACAUUAUCAUAAAUGAUACAAGCGAGCUGAUCACCUUCCUCUUUCAUCAUCUUAACAAGGUAGUUUCUGAGGGGCACCUUGCAGUUCUCAUUCAAAUCAUGUAUGUUCUCUAAACUCGGUAAUGAUAUUUCAAUUCCCUUUAAUCCGUCAUCCAUAGAAUGGAAGCCGAAUUCAGGAUGAUUGGAAUAUUUAGGAGUAUUGUAUUCAGGAUGUGCAAUUAUAACAGAAAAGCCUUGUGAGUGAAGGAUACUUCCAAGCUGCAGCAUUGGUGUUAAAUGCCCCUGGAAUGGGUAUGGUACUAGUACUACACUCUGUUUUCUUUCAAUUUUCAUCUUUUUUUUCUUGAGUUUCUCUUCUAUUCAAGAGUUUAGUAAUAGUGUUCUUGAAGGAAGUUUAUAUAUACAAGUUUAUAGUUAAUUUUGUACUAGUUAAUUUAAUUUGUUUUAACUUUGUAUUAUUAAGGUCAAAACUUCAUUUACAAAUUUUGUAUUGGUUAGUUUAAUUUGUUUUACCUUUGUAUUGUUUAGGUCAAAACUUCAUUUACAAUUUUUGUACUAGUUAAUUUAAUUUGUUUGACCUUUGUAUUAAGGUCAAAACUCCCUUUACAAAUUUUGUGUACUAGUUAAUUUAAUUUGUUUUACCAUUUAUUAUUAAUGUCAAAACUUCAUUUUAUCUCAUAAAGCUACUCAACUUUGAAUUUUAUUCCAAAAGUCACUCAACUAUGAGUGUUUUACUUACAAAGUCACCCAAUUUAAAUUUUUAUUCCAACAGUUACGCACUUAUGAAGUCACUCAUAGUCGAAUGUCCAUAUAAAUAUUGAAUAUCAAAUGAGUUGAAAACAAAAUCAAUAAAUACUCUUGGGUGAAGUUGGGACCCGGGAUUGGGGUCAGGAGUUGUCAGGUCCUCGUCGGGGUUGAGGUCUCUGGAUGGAGUCAUUGAUCUGGGUUGAGGUUUGGUCCAGAGUUAACUUUGGGUUGCAGUUCGUGGCAUGGGGUCAGUUGUCAGGUCCUAGGUUAAGGUUAGGUCGGGUUCUGGUCGAGGAUCAAGUUUUGAGCCGGUGUCGAGGUCAGGGUUUUGUUUUAGGUCAGUGUUGGGGUGAGGUCGGGUCGAGUCAAGUCCGUGUCUAUGUUAUAGGGUGGUUCCAGGUCUAGGUGUACAAAGAUACUCGUGGGACAAUAAUAUUUUUUACUAAUCAAACAUCAGAAAAUAAGUAAAAAAAUCAUUUAUUUUCCACGAAAAUAUUGUCCUACCAACUAGGAAGCAAUAUGUCAAAGUUCCCAACUUAUAAAACCAAUCAACAAACUAAAGUAAACUGCUUCAGCAUUUGCACCAUGGACUUAUGAAAAGUUCACUUCUUAUCUUAUUCUUCCUUUUGUGAUUAAGGACUUGUUGUCUUGCCAAGCUAACAGGCCACAAAUAUAUGGUUUGAGCUCAAAAAUAACUUCAAGACUCUAUGAUACACUUGCUUGCUAUAUGGUUUGAGCUCAUGAUUGCCCCAACAACAGGCAAUGGCGGAGCGAGCCGUGAUGGCAAGGCAGAAAUGAAGUCUACCAAAUCAUUCAGAUUCUUAUGUGAAGUGCCUUCAAUCUGCAUAGCAGCAACUAUGUUUUGUUUCAUGUCUACUACUCUUUUCUUCACAUCUUUGCCUUCUUCACUUAGCAUAAGUUUUCUUAUUGUUUUCUCUAUGACCGUUCUCUCGAUAGCCUCCAAUUCGAACCCAACCUUGUAUAUUUGGCUCAGAUACCUUGCGUUCACUGGUUGGUCUCCUAAAAAUGGCCUGCAUAUCAUAGGGACUUCUUCACAAAUACUUUCAACCGUAGAAUUCCAACCGCAAUGUGUGAAAAAGCCUGUUACCCCGGGAUGUGCAAGCACCUGUUUUUGUGGUGCCCAUUUCACUAUUCGUCCUCUUUCUCCUACCAUUUUCUCAAAACCAUCAGGCAGUGCCUCAGCACAUUGAAAGCCAGAGACAGAGCCAGGUCGAAUAACCCACAAGAACGGCUGAUCACUAUUAGCUAAUCCCCAAGCUGUCUCAAUUAGCUCUUUGUCAUCAAUCCUCACUAGGCUACCCAAGCUGACAUAGAGAACAGAGUUUGGGGCAUGUCUAUUGAGCCACUCGAUGCAGCUAUUGUCUUCUUCUAGUAUGCUAGUCGAUGAGGCCAAAGGUGCCAUUUUGUGUAAAGGGCCUAUUGGAAAGAAGGGCACCUUGUAAUGUUCUUGAAGGCGUAAUAACAUUGAACUCUCCAAGUCUUGCAUCGUGUUCCAUAUAGUCGCGACAGAUGAUCCUAUAUCACUCAUUGCUCUACAGAAGUCUAGUAUCGAUUCUGGAACUGUAUUUUUGAUGGUAGGAAACGGUACAUCCUUAAAUCUCAAGGGAUGAAGCUCCGGUAAUGGAUCCAGCAGCUGAGAAUCUGAAAUUGCAUAGAGUAAUCAAUGCAAACUUAGCAAAAGAUGAGCAUAAUGGAAGAAAAAUUUACCAAAAUAUUUUACUUAAACUGUAAAAUAACUGUACUUGUCAUUUUUUCUGUUUGCACGCCCAUUAAGAAAACAUUAACUAUAAGGAUGAUUUUUUCAUUUAGAUGUUGAAGCAGAGUAUGUGUAAUUGUUCUCAUACCUUCAAAAGGUAAAUAUUUUUCAGGUUGCUGAAAAAUGGUGAUCAUAGAGUGCAAAUAUGCAGCACUGAAAGUACGGAGGACAAUGCUGGGAAGCUUCAACUGAGUGGCUACAUCAUCGACAAAGAACAUGACGUUGUCAUAAACGAUACAAGCAAGCUGAUCACCUUCCUCUUCCAUCAUACUAACAAGGUAGUUUCUGAG